GACGAACGCUGGCGGCGUGCCUAACACAUGCAAGUCGAACGGAAGUAAGUGCUUCGGUAUUUACUUUAGUGGCGAACGGGUGAGUAACGCGUGAGGAACCUGCCUUUCAGUGGGGGACAACAGUUGGAAACGACUGCUAAUACCGCAUGACGCUUCUUAGGGGCAUCCCUGAGAAGUCAAAGCUUUAUGUGCUGAAAGAUGGAUUCGCGUCUGAUUAGCUAGUUGGUGAGGUAACGGCCCACCAAGGCGACGAUCAGUAGCCGGACUGAGAGGAUGAACGGCCACAUUGGGACUGAGAUACGGCCCAG
rnacentral:rRNA from 1 species